CCUACGGGUGGCAGCAGUGAGGAAUAUUGGUCAAUGGCCGAGAGGCUGAACCAGCCAAGUCGCGUGAGGGAAGACGGCCCUACGGGUUGUAAACCCCUUUUGUCGGGGAGCAAAGCGAGUCACGUGUGACUUAUUGAGAGUACCCGAAGAAAAAGCAUCGGCUAACUCCGUGCCAGCCGCCGCGGUAAUACGGAGGAUGCGAGGGUUAUCCGGAUUUAUGGGGUUUAAAGGGUGCGCAGGCGGAGGUGCAAGUCAGCGGUCAAAUUGCGGGGCUCAACCCCGUACUGCCGUUGAAACUGCAUGCCUUGAGUGCGCGAGAAGUAUGCGGAAUGCGUGGUGUAGCGGUGAAAUGCAUAGAUAUCACGCAGAACUCCGAUUGCGAAGGCAGCAUCCCUGCGCUCAACUGACGCUGAGGCACGAAAGCGUGGGGAUCGAACAGGAUUAGAUACCCCAGUAGUC
rnacentral:rRNA from 1 species